rnacentral:rRNA from 1 species
GGUGGUGAGAGUGGCGAACGGGUGAGUAAUGCGUGACCGACCUGCCCCAUGCUCCGGAAUAGCUCCUGGAAACGGGUGGUAAUGCCGGAUGUUCCACAUGAUCGCAUGUGAUUGUGGGAAAGAUUCUAUCGGCGUGGGAUGGGGUCGCGUCCUAUCAGCUUGUUGGUGAGGUAACGGCUCACCAAGGCUUCGACGGGUAGCCGGCCUGAGAGGGCGACCGGCCACAUUGGGACUGAGAUACGGCCCAGACUCCUACGGGAGGCAGCAGUGGGGAAUAUUGCACAAUGGGCGCAAGCCUGAUGCAGCGACGCCGCGUGAGGGAUGGAGGCCUUCGGGUUGUAAACCUCUUUUGUUUGGGAGCAAGCCUUCGGGUGAGUGUACCUUUCGAAUAAGCGCCGGCUAACUACGUGCCAGCAGCCGCGGUAAUACGUAGGGCGCAAGCGUUAUCCGGAUUUAUUGGGCGUAAAGGGCUCGUAGGCGGCUCGUCGCGUCCGGUGUGAAAGUCCAUCGCUUAACGGUGGAUCUGCGCCGGGUACGGGC